rnacentral:rRNA from 1 species
GAUGAACGCUGGCGGCGUGCCUAAUACAUGCAAGUCGAGCGAACGGACGAGAAGCUUGCUUCUCUGAUGUUAGCGGCGGACGGGUGAGUAACACGUGGAUAACCUACCUAUAAGACUGGGAUAACUUCGGGAAACCGGAGCUAAUACCGGAUAAUAUUUUGAACCGCAUGGUUCAAAAGUGAAAGACGGUCUUGCUGUCACUUAUAGAUGGAUCCGCGCUGCAUUAGCUAGUUGGUAAGGUAACGGCUUACCAAGGCAACGAUGCAUAGCCGACCUGAGAGGGUGAUCGGCCACACUGGAACUGAGACACGGUCCAGACUCCUACGGGAGGCAGCAGUAGGGAAUCUUCCGCAAUGGGCGAAAGCCUGACGGAGCAACGCCGCGUGAGUGAUGAAGGUCUUCGGAUCGUAAAACUCUGUUAUUAGUGAAGAACAUAUGUGUAAGUAACUGUGCACAUCUUGACGGUACCUAAUCAGAAAGCCACGGCUAACUACGUGCCAGCAGCCGCGGUAAUACGUAGGUGGCAAGCGUUAUCCGGAAUUAUUGGGCGUAAAGCGCGCGUAGGCGGUUUUUUAAGUCUGAUGUGAAAGCCCACGGCUCAACCGUGGAGGGUCAUUGGAAACUGGAAAACUUGAGUGCAGAAGAGGAAAGUGGAAUUCCAUGUGUAGCGGUGAAAUGCGCAGAGAUAUGGAGGAACACCAGUGGCGAAGGCGACUUUCUGGUCUGUAACUGACGCUGAUGUGCGAAAGCGUGGGGAUCAAACAGGAUUAGAUACCCUGGUAGUCCACGCCGUAAACGAUGAGUGCUAAGUGUUAGGGGGUUUCCGCCCCUUAGUGCUGCAGCUAACGCAUUAAGCACUCCGCCUGGGGAGUACGACCGCAAGGUUGAAACUCAAAGGAAUUGACGGGGACCCGCACAAGCGGUGGAGCAUGUGGUUUAAUUCGAAGCAACGCGAAGAACCUUACCAAAUCUUGACAUCCUUUGACAACUCUAGAGAUAGAGCCUUCCCCUUCGGGGGACAAAGUGACAGGUGGUGCAUGGUUGUCGUCAGCUCGUGUCGUGAGAUGUUGGGUUAAGUCCCGCAACGAGCGCAACCCUUAAGCUUAGUUGCCAUCAUUAAGUUGGGCACUCUAAGUUGGCUGCCGGUGACAAACCGGAGGAAGGUGGGGAUGACGUCAAAUCAUCAUGCCCCUUAUGAUUUGGGCUACACACGUGCUACAAUGGACAAUACAAAGGGCAGCGAAACCGCGAGGUCAAGCAAAUCCCAUAAAGUUGUUCUCAGUUCGGAUUGUAGUCUGCAACUCGACUACAUGAAGCUGGAAUCGCUAGUAAUCGUAGAUCAGCAUGCUACGGUGAAUACGUUCCCGGGUCU